rnacentral:rRNA from 1 species
UGCGUAGGCGGACCUGAAAGUCAGUGGUGAAAGUUUGCAGCUCAACUGUAAAAUUGCCAUUGAAACUCUGGGUCUUGAGUGUAAAUGAGGUAGGCGGAAUGUGUUGUGUAGCGGUGAAAUGCUUAGAUAUAACACAGAACACCAAUUGCGAAGGCAGCUUACUAGGAUACAACUGACGCUGAGGACAAGCGUGGGGAUCAAACA